rnacentral:snoRNA from 1 species
AUUCCAUGAUUGGGACAUUCUAGGAUGUAGUCUUGGAAGCGCUCCCAUGCUUCUGGAACGGAUUCAUCAUGUUGUUGCUGAAAACUUGUAAUCUUCCCACGGAGAGC